CAGUCGCCGCGGUAAUACGUAGGUGGCAAGCGUUGUCCGGAAUUAUUGGGCGUAAAGGGCUCGCAGGCGGUUUCUUAAGUCUGAUGUGAAAGCCCCCGGCUCAACCAGGGAGGGUCAUUGGAAACUGGGAAACUUGAGUGCAGAAGAGGAGAGUGGAAUUCCACGUGUAGCGGUGAAAUGCGUAGAGAUGUGGAGGAACACCAGUGGCGAAGGCGACUCUCUGGUCUGUAACUGACGCUGAGGAGCGAAAGCGUGGGGAGCGAACAGGAUUAGAUACCCGUGUAGUCCCUGUCUCUUAUAC
rnacentral:rRNA from 1 species